rnacentral:lncRNA from 1 species
AAACUUCAAAAACCCCCCCUUGUGGUUUCCUAAUUUCUCACUUUGCUCCCCUGUGGUUUAAAAUGUAUCAAUUUGCCUCUGUGUACUUUUUUUUUUCUUUUUCUUAUCAAUUUUAUUAUUUUAUUUUUCUUAAAUCAGUGAUAAGGUUAAAAUUAAAGGGUGCUAAAGUGAAUAUUUGAUAAAUCUAGAUGGGUAUCUGAAGUUUUUUUGUAUAUAAUUUAAUGAAAUAUUAAUAAAAAAGCUAUCGAAAAAAUAAAAAUAAAACCAGAGGGAAAAUUUUUGAAGUUUUCCCUUCAAUCAAUAUACAA